ACCAUCAACAAGUUUCGCAACUGAUGCUUUUGCGGUUACAUCAUCCUCUCUC
rnacentral:sRNA from 1 species